GCCUUUGAAUCCAUCUUUUUUUACAAACAAGAACUAAGCUAAUCACCAUUGGAGAAAUAGCGAGAUACAGUAGUAGCUCCUCUCUAGGUUGAGGCUUCGUGAGCAUGGUGGAGAGCUGAGAUAUUGCUUCAACUCCUCAAAAGUCUUUUAGCAUUCAACAAUCCAUUGAAAGUCUUUCAGCUGCUUGAGGGUCUGAAAAAAUGGGAGACACUUCUCGACCAAUCUAGAGAUGAAGUGGUUGAGUGAAGCGAUCUUGCCGGUG
rnacentral:lncRNA from 1 species